CGACCGCAUUCAAGAUAGAAGCAAUAGCAAGAAAUAAACCCAAAUUUAAUUGCGACUGAACUCAAAUUUGUCCUCUGUAUACUCGCAUCAGAAUUCAAGUUCGCAACCAGAAAAAAAAAUCGAAAUAACAAUUCACACACUAGUCAAUGCCCAAAACAACCCGUAACUCAGAUACCAAGCAUUAUGAAAUUCAAAUCAAUCCCAAUAACUUUUGAAACUGUCAACAACCGCUGUAUCAAAUGAAAGAACCAAAACCUUGGACACGUGUAAAUUCACUAAC
rnacentral:misc_RNA from 1 species